rnacentral:lncRNA from 1 species
GAAAACAAAAAGCUGAAGGCUGCUCAUUUGUGCCAAUAAAGGCAUCAGAAUUGCCUUGAAUACGGAUCUUCUUUUUCAGCCAAAAAUGCCCUCCAGAAUCCUACUUCAAGUCCAAAUAUGAAAGUUACAAUUGGAAUUCAAAAUCCCGUUUAGAUCUCAGUCUUUUUUAGAAGAAAAAUCAUAAAAGAAAUAAAAAAAUAUAGAAAACUGAAAACUCAAAAAAAACUUUACUGUUCCAUUAAAAUUGGAAGUUGAUUUCAAUUUCUGGUUACUGAUUAACCUUCUGCAAUUGUUACUUCUGUCGAUUGAAGGUACAGAAUCAUUUCGAGAUGAAAUUAGUGUUCUAAAUCAGGUUUGAGUGUUUUUUUCUGGUUGUCUCUGCAUUGACAUUCAUUUUUAGGUCGUUAGCUGCUGUGUGGAGUUCAUUUGCUGGUUUUCCUUUUGAUUUGAAUCACUCCUGAACUGCUGGUCGUUGCUGUUGAAUCUGCUGCUAUGUUGAAUAGGUGUUUUACAUGAAGCUGACCUCUUUUUCUUCUUCUUUUAAACGUUGAAUACCAGGUACACAUUUUGAAUCACCUCGAUGUAACUUGAAUUGAUGUUGAAUUGGAAGUUUUCACCAGACCUGCAUUUGGGUGUUAUCUGUUGUCUCUGAUUCACUAAAUGUUAAAUGAAGUAGAAGUAGUUGAUAUUAGCUCUGUUUUGUAUUUUAUUGAAUAAUAUAAAUGUGAUUGUGUAAUUGGAACUACCUUAGGCUGCUUUGGACUGUGUCAAUUAUUGUUGGUAACAGACUGUUAUAUCAUCCAGGAAACAUAUGUUCAGUAGCUAGUCGAACCACUAAUUGUCAUUAGCUAUAAUUAGUUUAGUGUGUUUGUUCAGUUUAAACUUUUAAAGUUAGAAAAUAACUCUAGUUAGCAUUCUCCUUUUGAAGCUAUGAAAUUGUGCUUGCAUCAAUGGUUGUUGACUGAAUUUGUAAUAACAUGCACGUAAAUGUCGAGCUAGGACAUUUUUGUAUGGGACUAGUUAACAAAUAUCUAAUGAACAGUUAAUUGAUUCAUGCUUUCCUAGUCGAAUUCAAAACUUGUGGGUGUUUAGGUCGUUGAUUAACGUUGGAAUUGAUAAAUCAUAGUUGAUAUUGCUAAUUGUUGGUGGGAAGCAUUACUGAAAUCAAGCACGAUUAGUUUGUCUUUUUUCACGUAAAAAGUUGAACAUAGUUAUUCUGCCCAGCUAAUGUAAAUUGCAUUUUUUUAGUUUGAAACUCUGUGAUUUCAAUUGUCCUUGUCAAUUAGUAGAUAAUAGUUAGCAUCCAAUUAAAUCGUGGGUCUGUUAGCUUCAAGGGAUCGAUCAUUUGAUCUCCCUAGGCAGCCUAUUUUGCUUUGUCUUUUCGGGCUUCCUCAAGGCCCACUCGCUGCAAUUAAUUCACAUACAGAACCAUUUGGUUCAUAAGUUGGGACUGUUUCAGAGAUUUCAAUUCAAGAUUUAGUAUAAUGUAAGUUUGGGCUUUGAGUUAGGUAGAGGGUUCAAAUUAAGGGGCUCCCUUCUUGUUUGAAUCCGGACUUAAGCUCGAGGCCCGAAGCUUAUAAUAUUGAUCGACUAGGAUUUUUUCAUUGUUAGAGAAAAAAUAGAAAAUCAUAGUUUCUUUUAGGCUUUCCCAUUUAAAAUAAAGUGAUACGAGCCUCGUGCAAUAAAAUAUAAUAUUGUGGGGCCCUCAGUAAAGUAAAAAAUACUUAGAAAUUCGGGACGAGCUGUUUAGCGAAUUUCACGGCGAUCCCAAAAAAUAACAAUGCGUUAGUCUUUUUGCGUUAGUCUUUUUAGAUACGAUUUUAAUAAAAUUACAUUCCUAAACUUGGGUGUUCAUUUCAUGCGACCCAAAUCAAAUCCCAAAACUUUGAAUAGAGUUGCUUAGGAUUGCGGGUUCAUUUCAUGUGACGUGAUCCGAAGGCACUCUUCAAACAAUGUUCAACUUUCUUUUGAGAAAUACAUAUUGAAUAAAGGCGGAUAAAAAUAAAAAUUGGCACAUAGGUUCUUCAUAUAAUAAAAUCAGAUAAAUAAGCUACAACAGUUCAGAGGACGUGCUAGAAUCACGGAACUCGGGAAUGCCUAACACCUUCUCCUGGGUUAACAGAAUUCCUUACUCGAAUUUCUGAUUUGCGGACUGUCAAACACGGUCAUAUUUUCCCCAGUUCGAGAUUCAACUGGUGACUUGGGACACCAUUAAUCUCCCAAGUGGCGACUCUAAAAUAUUAAUAACUAAAUUCCAUUCCGAUUAUUCUUUAAUUAAAAAACCUUCUUAAUGCCCUUGCGGGUGUAGUGAAAAAGGAGGUGUGACAGCUUUGGCGACUUUGUUGGG